AGAGUUUGAUCAUGGCUCAGGACGAACGCUGGCGGCGUGCCUAAUACAUGCAAGUCGAACGCUUCUUUCCUCCCGAGUGCUUGCACUCAAUUGGAAAGAGGAGUGGCGGACGGGUGAGUAACACGUGGGUAACCUACCCAUCAGAGGGGGAUAACACUUGGAAACAGGUGCUAAUACCGCAUAACAGUUUAUGCCGCAUGGCAUAAGAGUGAAAGGCGCUUUCGGGUGUCGCUGAUGGAUGGACCCGCGGUGCAUUAGCUAGUUGGUGAGGUAACGGCUCACCAAGGCCACGAUGCAUAGCCGACCUGAGAGGGUGAUCGGCCACACUGGGACUGAGACACGGCCCAGACUCCUACGGGAGGCAGCAGUAGGGAAUCUUCGGCAAUGGACGAAAGUCUGACCGAGCAACGCCGCGUGAGUGAAGAAGGUUUUCGGAUCGUAAAACUCUGUUGUUAGAGAAGAACAAGGACGUUAGUAACUGAACGUCCCCUGACGGUAUCUAACCAGAAAGCCACGGCUAACUACGUGCCAGCAGCCGCGGUAAUACAUAGGUGGCAAGCGUUGUCCGGAUUUAUUGGGCGUAAAGCGAGCGCAGGCGGUUUCUUAAGUCUGAUGUGAAAGCCCCCGGCUCAACCGGGGAGGGUCAUUGGAAACUGGGAGACUUGAGUGCAGAAGAGGAGAGUGGAAUUCCAUGUGUAGCGGUGAAAUGCGUAGAUAUAUGGAGGAACACCAGUGGCGAAGGCGGCUCUCUGGUCUGUAACUGACGCUGAGGCUCGAAAGCGUGGGGAGCAAACAGGAUUAGAUACCCUGGUAGUCCACGCCGUAAACGAUGAGUGCUAAGUGUUGGAGGGUUUCCGCCCUUCAGUGCUGCAGCAAACGCAUUAAGCACUCCGCCUGGGGAGUACGACCGCAAGGUUGAAACUCAAAGGAAUUGACGGGGGCCCGCACAAGCGGUGGAGCAUGUGGUUUAAUUCGAAGCAACGCGAAGAACCUUACCAGGUCUUGACAUCCUUUGACCACUCUAGAGAUAGAGCUUUCCCUUCGGGGACAAAGUGACAGGUGGUGCAUGGUUGUCGUCAGCUCGUGUCGUGAGAUGUUGGGUUAAGUCCCGCAACGAGCGCAACCCUUAUUGUUAGUUGCCAUCAUUUAGUUGGGCACUCUAGCGAGACUGCCGGUGACAAACCGGAGGAAGGUGGGGAUGACGUCAAAUCAUCAUGCCCCUUAUGACCUGGGCUACACACGUGCUACAAUGGGAAGUACAACGAGUCGCUAGACCGCGAGGUCAUGCAAAUCUCUUAAAGCAUCUCUCAGUUCGGAUUGCAGGCUGCAACUCGCCUGCAUGAAGCCGGAAUCGCUAGUAAUCGCGGAUCAGCACGCCGCGGUGAAUACGUUCCCGGGCCUUGUA
rnacentral:rRNA from 1 species